UCUACGGGAGGCAGCAGUGGGGAAUAUUGCACAAUGGGCGAAAGCUGAUGCAGCAACGCCGCGUGAGGGAUGACGGCCUUUCGGGUUGUAAACCUCUUUUAGCAGGGAAGAAGCGAAAGUGACGGUACCUGCAGAAAAAGCGCCGGCUAACUACGUGCCAGCAGCCGCGGUAAUACGUAGGGCGCAGCGUUAUCCGGAAUUAUUGGGCGUAAAGAGCUCGUAGGCGGUUUGUCGCGUCUGCUGUGAAAUCCCGAGGCUCAACCUCGGGCCUGCAGUGGGUACGGGCAGACUAGAGUGCGGUAGGGGAGAUUGGAAUUCCUGGUGUAGCGGUGGAAUGCGCAGAUAUCAGGAGGAACACCGAUGGCGAAGGCAGAUCUCUGGGCCGUAACUGACGCUGAGGAGCGAAAGGGUGGGGAGCAAACAGGCUUAGAUACCCUGGUAGUCCACCCCGUAAACGUUGGGAACUAGUUGUGGGGACCAUUCCACGGUUUCCGUGACGCAGCUAACGCAUUAAGUUCCCCGCCUGGGGAGUACGGCCGCAAGGCUAAAACUCAAAGGAAUUGACGGGGACCCGCACAAGCGGCGGAGCAUGCGGAUUAAUUCGAUGCAACGCGAAGAACCUUACCAAGGCUUGACAUAUACGAGAACGGGCCAGAAAUGGUCAACUCUUUGGACACUCGUAAACAGGUGGUGCAUGGUUGUCGUCAGCUCGUGUCGUGAGAUGUUGGGUUAAGUCCCGCAACGAGCGCAACCCUCGUUCUAUGUUGCCAGCACGUAAUGGUGGGAACUCAUGGGAUACUGCCGGGGUCAACUCGGAGGAAGGUGGGGAUGACGUCAAAUCAUCAUGCCCCUUAUGUCUUGGGCUUCACGCAUGCUACAAUGGCCGGUACAAAGGGCUGCAAUACCGUGAGGUGGAGCGAAUCCCAAAAAGCCGGUCCCAGUUCGGAUUGAGGUCUGCAACUCGACCUCAUGAAGUCGGAGUCGCUAGUAAUCGCAG
rnacentral:rRNA from 1 species